rnacentral:rRNA from 1 species
AUUGAACGCUGGCGGCAUGCCUUACACAUGCAGGUCGAACGGCAGCAUGGAGAGCUUGCUCUCUGAUGGCGAGUGGCGAACGGGUGAGUAAUGCAUCGGAACGUACCGUGUAAUGGGGGAUAACGUAGCGAAAGUUACGCUAAUACCGCAUACGACCUGAGGGUGAAAGCAGGGGAUCGCAAGACCUUGCGUUAUACGAGCGGCCGAUGUCGGAUUAGCUAGUUGGUGAGGUAAAGGCUCACCAAGGCGACGAUCUGUAGCGGGUCUGAGAGGAUGAUCCGCCACACUGGGACUGAGACACGGCCCAGACUCCUACGGGAGGCAGCAGUGGGGAAUUUUGGACAAUGGGGGCAACCCUGAUCCAGCCAUGCCGCGUGAGUGAAGAAGGCCUUCGGGUUGUAAAGCUCUUUCGGCCGGGAAGAAAUCGCACAGGCUAAUACUCUGUGUGGAUGACGGUACCGGCAUAAGAAGCACCGGCUAACUACGUGCCAGCCGCCGCAGUAA